rnacentral:snoRNA from 1 species
UUGGCCAUAUUGAAGCUGUUGGUUUCAAGCAGGUGUCUAAAGAAAUGUUCUUCUGUGGUCUGUUGACCAUUUCAGACAUUUGAAACUGCAAUGGUCAAUUCAUUAUUCAGAAACACGU